UGGGGAAUUUUGGACAAUGGGGGAAACCCUGAUCCAGCCAUCCCGCGUGUGCGAUGAAGGCCUUCGGGUUGUAAAGCACUUUUGGCAGGAAAGAAACGUCGCGGGUUAAUACCCCGCGAAACUGACGGUACCUGCAGAAUAAGCACCGGCUAACUACGUGCCAGCAGCCGCGGUAAUACGUAGGGUGCAAGCGUUAAUCGGAAUUACUGGGCGUAAAGCGUGCGCAGGCGGUUCGGAAAGAAAGAUGUGAAAUCCCAGAGCUUAACUUUGGAACUGCAUUUUUAACUACCGGGCUAGAGUGUGUCAGAGGGAGGUGGAAUUCUGCGUGUAGCAGUGAAAUGCGUAGAUAUGCGGAGGAACACCGAUGGCGAAGGCAGCCUCCUGGGAUAACACUGACGCUCAUGCACGAAAGCGUGGGGAGCAAAACAGGAUUAGAUACCCUGGUAGUCCACGCCCUAAAACGAUGUCAACUAGCUGUUGGGGCCUUCGGGCCUUGGUAGCGCAGCUAACGCGUGAAGUUGACCGCCUGGGGAGUACGGUCGCAAGAUUAAAACUCAAAGGAAUUGACGGGGUCAUAGCUGUUUCCUG
rnacentral:rRNA from 1 species